GCCUGGGUGGCUCAGUUGGUUAAGUGUCUGACUUCAGCUCAGGUCAUGAUAUUGCGGUUUGUGGGUUCGAGCCCCAUGUCAGGCU
rnacentral:tRNA from 1 species